rnacentral:tRNA from 1 species
UGUAGGGAGGACUAGUGGUUAGGCCUUGGUGCUCUCACCACCAUGGCCCGGGUUUGAUUCCCAGCCAGGGAU